CAGCAGCCGCGGUAAUACGAAGGGGGCUAGCGUUGUUCGGAUUUACUGGGCGUAAGGGCGCGUAGGCGGACUGAUAAGUCAGGGGUGAAAUCCCAAGGCUCAACCUUGGAACUGCCUUUGAUACUGUUUGUCUUGAGUUCGAGAGAGGUAAGUGGAACUGCGAGUGUAGAGGUGAAAUUCGUAGAUAUUCGCAAGAACACCAGUGGCGAAGGCGGCUUACUGGCUCGAAACUGACGCUGAGGCGCGAAAGCGUGGGGAGCAAACAGGAUUAGAUACCCGGGUAGUCCCUGUCUCUUAUACA
rnacentral:rRNA from 1 species